rnacentral:rRNA from 1 species
CGGGGUGAGUAAUGCUUGGGAAUCUAGCUUAUGGAGGGGGAUAACUACGGGAAACUGUAGCUAAUACCGCGUAGAAUCGAGAGAUGAAAGUGUGGGACCUUCGGGCCACAUGCCAUAGGAUGAGCCCAAGUGGGAUUAGGUAGUUGGUGAGGUAAAGGCCCACCAAGCCGACGAUCUCUAGCUGGUCUGAGAGGAUGACCAGCCACACUGGGACUGAGACACGGCCCAG